UUUUGACUAUACAAAGGUAUUGAAAAAAGACUUUAAUUGAGUGCUAAAAGAAAGGAUUAACGGAAAAAUUUUUUUUUAAUUUCAAAAAUUGAAGUUAUUUUUGUCAGUGAAGAAACUACAAUAAAAAUUAAGGGCAAGAAGACCCUAAGAAUUUUUAAUAAUUUAAAAAAAAUUUUUUUUUUAAAUUAUUUUAAUUGGGGCGAUUAACAAAAAUAAGAAACUUUAUUUUUCCAAAAAAAUGAACCAUUAAUAAUGGUCAUAUGAAAAAAAUACUCUAGGGAUAACAGCGUAAUAAUUUUAGAUAGUUCUUAUAGACAAAAUAGUUUGCGACCUCGAUGUUGGAUUAGGAUUCUUAUUUAAUG
rnacentral:rRNA from 1 species